rnacentral:lncRNA from 1 species
GAAAGAGUGAGCUGCAGCCAUUGCCCGUGCAGAAUCUCAAAAUAAAAAUAGAAUAAUAAUAACAAAAAAGCUGGGGAUGUAACUCAGUAGAAGUUCAUUGCCCAGUACCUCAAUCAGCCAGUCCAUAAAUGUGUAGAUGACAAAAACAUUUUCAUGCUGAACAAAGGUUGGGAGCCAUAGAAGCUUUUGACCAGGUAUACACACAUUGGCAUUCUGAAUGCAUAUGCUUUUCAGGUAAUUUUUGUAAGAGCAACAGAGAAAGGCCAGUUAGUCCCCUGCAGCUCUUUAUCUCAGGGAGGCAGAGCAUUCCCAGGAGCCCCAUUCCACUUCUCCUCAGACUUCUGCUCUGGGCUGGGGCCAUGUGGUCUCUGGCUGCAGAGGGAUGCACAGAAGACACCUCUCCUGGGGAGCCCAAAGCCUGCUCUGUGGAGAGAAGGCAGGGGUGAGAAUGGACCUGGGAUGGUGUGGAUGAAGAGCAGGGUUUGUGUGAGGGCUGCUUCCUUCAUUUAUAACCCAGGGUGAGGUCAAGGUGCAGCAGGAGUUGAUCCGUGGGCAGGAGUGAUUUAGUACUGGAGGGCAGGGCUGGGAGUGUUAGUUAUAUGGGAAUCACUUGCUCAGAAGGCUGAAAUGAGAUUCCAGGAAUCCCCGGUAAGGAAGAGGAGUGAGAUGGAGAAAAACUGUGUAACAAGUCUGAGGGACUGACUUCUUUUGGGGGGUCUUGUCUAGGCAGUGACAGUGUCAAGGGUGCCUGUUUAACAGCUUUAAGACUUCCACUUCCCUCAGUAAGUGCAGCACAUGCUCAUGUACAGCCCACCGAAGGCUGGUCUAGGGCCUUCAUCGGAGCAUAUUGUCCGCUCAGAAAUUCAGUUUUGUCCACUGUGGCCUUUGAUGGGGAAGUAACAGAGAUCUACUGAAUGAAUCGGGAUGAACAGGCAUUCAUUAUUGUUUAUUUUGUGAUAGAAGGACAGUUGGAGAUCUUCAUCCCCACGAAGAAAUGCAGAGAAGGCAGCCAGAUACCCCUUUGUGGGGCUUUGUGUUAGCCUUGCACCACUGAGGUGACGCCUCAGAGACGGAGGAGCAUGCGCUUGGCCAGGUAUGGCUACUGUUCUUAUUGACGCACUCCCUGGGUCAGUCCCUCUCCCCUUUCCUGGGUGACUGCUGUUCCUUGCUGUUGGGCCAGCUAAGGCCUCUGCUCACUCCCUCGUGGACCUUGGCCUGGUCUCUGUGAUUCUCCUUCAUCCCUGG